AUAUAUGAUAAGAACAUAUAAAUUUCAAAAUAUCAGCCGGCACUUAUCGAAUUGAAGCUAAGAUAUAAGAGCUUGAUAAAAUAUCCCCUUUAGAAUUUUUCACAUACGUGGAAACUUAUAUAGUACUUAGCAUCUUUUCUUGAAAAGUGGAUAUGAAAUGACAGUAAUAAAUAACACAAUUAACAUUCAGAGCAAAUUCGCAAAUGAAAAUAAGAAUCAUAACGUUCUGAAAAGCAACUAGGUUUAUAUACUAUGCACCAACUUGCUCUAAUAAAAGAGUUAUAAUUAAAAAUAAAAAAAAGUCCACUCUUCUUGGCUCUUGUUCAAAAACUAUUAGCAACAUAAACCUGAGUAUGAUCAGUGUCUAAAUAAAAAGGGAGGAAAAGAAAUUAAAAAACACAAAGCAACGGAAUUUUGGAAAAAAGAAUGCCUGGCUCCAAUCUGUUUGCCACUUUCCAAUCUAAAUAUUAGAAGAUAUCCUCAAAAAUAAUGUUAUCCUUCAUCUUGAGAUUCCAAAAACUCCACUUCUGCACCAAAAGAGAAUGUGGGACGUUCCAUAGAUAAGAAGAAAAUAGAUAAAGCUUGUCUUCUUGAUCCAUCUUCACCAAUUUUCUUCUUUAAUACUAAACCUUUUUUUUUCUAAUUGCAUAUAUUCACUGACUCGACUAAUCCAGAUUCGCGCUUCUAUUUCCUUUUCAUAUUUGUAAACUCAACAUAGUGUACUUUUAGAGAAGUAAUAUUCACAUAGAAACUAAAUCUCUUCUUACUUGGAGAAGAUGAACAAAGAAAUGGCUUUAGGAGAAGUUAUAAGGGUUAGAGGGAUUUAAAAAGUGGAGAAGAAGAAUAAUAAGGAAAUGGGCAUUUUGUCGAUAGGGGUAAUUGUGUCUUUAUGUUCCUUGUUUCGGCUUCGAGUUGGCCAGAUUUUUGAAAGAAGACCAAUCGCCUGAUUUAUACUAAACGACGCACUCGCAGGG
rnacentral:lncRNA from 1 species